rnacentral:lncRNA from 1 species
CUUUUGUUGUGUCUCUCUGAUUAGUCCUCAGUUUCAUUUUCUGAUGAAUUCAACACCUUUCUGAAUACUUCCAGCUAAUUCUUCUUUUGCUUUCUCCAGACCAAUCCUGUUCGAAGAAUAAGGAAUCCAAGAUAAAGAUAACUCUCUUUCUUUCUCUCUUGAGGCUAAAAGUAUUUUUAAGAGAUACCUUUCGUAUUCGUUUAAGGGUCCAAGCUGAUACACUUCCUCUGCUCCUGUACGGCCAAGGCGCACUUUGGUUGCAAAGAAAGCUAAUUCUGUCACCUGUGAUGACAAGUCAAAAGGCGUUGAAAGGAUAUGAAAGGGAGUGAAGAGUUUUUUUCCAAAAGAUGAAAAUAAUUUACCUGUGAAGCAACAAAAGAGCACUCUAUGACAUUAGCAUCUCCUCUUAACCCGCGAAGGCAAGCAUCUGCAAACUUAGAUGCAGCAUAUGCCUGUGGUAGUAUAUAUAUAAAUGGAUUCAGUACAGGGGAAAAACAAGUGUUAAGAUGAUGUCUUUUAAAGUGAUUUGGUUUAGUUUUACCAUGGAAAGUGUUGCAGAUCCAGCUCCAGCUUUUGCCUCCACAACUUCAGUUCCACCAUUCUGAAUCCGGUUUGUGAGGUACUCAACUUCUUGAGGUGUGAAGCUGCUAGGAGGUUUAACCUGCGGGGAAAAAGAUUAUGCAAAACCAUGAAUUAGCGGAUAAGCUGAUGUAAUGUAAACGACUUGUACAUUUGCACUUUCUGUUUAUAUGAAACCUGUGACAAUAGUGGCAAAAUUGUGACUCCGGCGUGUCCCCCUACGACUGGUACAUCAACUUCUCUUGGAUCAAGGCCAAGAACUUCUGCCUGCACAAAGAUUGAAAAUAUUCACUAAUUGAUUGUAGUAAUGACAAGGAGGAAAGUCAAAUCAUAUGGAGUGAGAAAUCACAUUAUUACCACAAAGGUGUUGGCACGAGCAACAUCGAGUGUAGUAACUCCAAGGAGCUUCUUUGGAUCAUAAGUUCCAGCUUUCUUGAAAACCUCAGCGGCAAUGGGGACAGUAGAGUUCACAGGGUUGCUGAUCAAGUUGACAACCGCAUUUGGACAACAUUUUGCUACACCUUCACAUAGUGUCUUAACAAUCCCAGCAUUGAUUUUAAACAGAUCAUCACGGGUCAUCCCUGGUUUCCUCGGUAUACCGGCUGGUAUGAUCACAAGAUCCAUACCCGUUAGUGCGUCCUCAAGCUGUUUUGCUCCCAAGAAUCCCCGGACCUAAUUGGCUCAAACCAAUCAAGAAUGCUCAAUACUCUCUACUCAUUCAUUAGCAAGAAGAAGUGAAGUUUUCAAAGUUGAGAGGUUCUUACAACAGCUCCAGUGUCCAUAUGACUGAUGUCAGCUGUGACGCCAGGUGCAUUGACAACAUCGUAGAGAUGAAGUAAAGAGACAAGAGGGUUCAGCUUCAUCAGCAAAGCUAAAGGUUGUCCAAUUCCACCUGCAGCUCCAAGAAUCGCUACUUUGAAUCCUGAAUUCCCGCCUUUCGCUCUGCAGUUUUCUCGUCCCAUUACCGAAUUCUUUCCCUCCACCUAAUCAUUGACCAAUCACACACACAAAAAAAAAAGAUAACAUAUCAACUCUUAGUCCUAGAAGGCUUCAAUGGAGACAAAAACAAUUUGUUCUCACUCUCUAUUGUCAUCAGAAAUGGAAGUUCACUAGUAGAACGAAUGUAAAGUUCGUAACUGGACUAAAAUUUGAGUCUUGAUGACUCUGAGACUGAAUACAAACUAUUAUUUCUUGUUUUAGAACAGCCAAUGAUUAAAAGAACCAAAUAAGGUAACUUGAAUUAGAAGCAAUAGUGAGGAAAAAAAAAACCUGAAGAGUUAAAGAAG